GACGAAGGGGGCUAGCGUUGUUCGGAAUUACUGGGCGUAAAGCGCGUGUAGGCGGUUGUUCAAGUCAGGUGUGAAAGCCUUGAGCUCAACUCAAGAAAUGCACUUGAUACUGGAUGACUAGAGGACCGGAGAGGAUAGUGGAAUUCCCAGUGUAGUGGUGAAAUACGUAGAGAUUGGGAAGAACACCAGUGGCGAAGGCGGCUAUCUGGACUGACAUUGACGCUGAGGCACGAAAGCGUGGGGAUCAAACAGG
rnacentral:rRNA from 1 species